rnacentral:lncRNA from 1 species
UUUAAUUACCUCAGUCCUUAGUGUAAGGGAAGGUCAUCAAAAGUGCAUUAAAGUUAAGGCACUCUCUGGGAGUGAUUCUUUCAUUUACCUUUGUAACCAAGGGACCUGUAGAAAACUUUGUGUAGAGCAGAACUUGUAGUAAUGGGAAAAUAAAUUCUGAGGAGUAAGAGGAGUGAGGUGUGGAGACAACACGGUCAGGACACUCAGUUGGAACAGUCACUUACAGAGUAGAUCAUCAGAAGCUUCUGUUGCUUUGUGCUGCCACCUGACAACUGUGACCAUGGCAACAGCACUAGAGCAGUCAGUGGAUGGCUAUGAAGUUCUGAGAAGAUUUGUUGAGCUAUUUAGCAACCGGGACUUUUUUCUCAGAACUCUGAUGUUGUCUACAAGAGUCACUGUUACAUGGGAUUAAGUUCAGAUUUCAUCACUUAUCAGUUGUGUCAAUCUGGAUGACUGAUGUAGGCUCUCUUAUCCUGGUUCUUGCUUAUAAAAUCAGAAUAACUACCACAUAAGAUGAAAGUGAGAUAAUGAAUGCUGAAAACCCAUCACGUGCUAGACAUGUAACAAAUGUGUUUUUUCUUCACUCUGCCCAACAGAUUACGUGGAAUAGGUGUGUGUAACAAAGCUCCUCCUUCAUGCUAUCUGAUCCGACUGAUUCAUCAAGUACUCAAUAUCCUCUUCAGUUUUACCCCCUUCUCACAGUGUGAGUCAGCCUGUCUAACUCUGGAUUACUGUCUAAUUUGAUUUGGUCAGUUCUGAAGAUAUUAGGUAAUAUUAGAUCCAUUUCUGACCCCAUGGAAUUGCACUUAAUAUCUCUCCUCUGUUUUCUACCAUGCCAAA